AAGAGCGUGCAUCCUAGUUAGGCGUCCACACUUAUCGGUUUGUUUGAUGUUACAGCCAAGGGUCUGUAGCUCAGGUGGUUAGAGCACCGUCUUGAUAAGGCGGGGGUCGUAGGUUCAAGUCCUACCACACCCACCAAGUUACGGGCGGCGGACAGCGAUCUUGCCGUGAACUGGGGGAUUAGCUCAGCUGGGAGAGCACCUGCUUUGCAAGCAGGGGGUCGUCGGUUCGAUCCCGUCAUCCUCCACCAACACCUUGUGGUAGCCAAACGCAAGCAUCGAGAGAUCGGUGUUUGCGUUUGGCAUUGCCAAGACGAGUAGUAACUCGGCUGUUCUUUAACAAUAUGGAAUGUAGUAAAGGUGUCCCGGCGCGUUGAUGAGGCGCGCAAUUUAAACGCGACACUGGGUUGUGAUUGUAUCAACCAGUAUUACCAGUGAUCGAAAGACCGCUUGGAAUACGGCACAACGCGAGAACUCAGCCUAUAGCGAGACAUACUCGUUAUAGGGUC
rnacentral:tRNA from 1 species